CAUUCGAGGCGACGGGCUCCGGGCCCUGAUAGAUGGGGUGCGGGGACGGAGACAAAUGACGGCCUUUGGGCUCGGAAUACCCACCUUUCUGGUAAUGCAGCCCAGCGGGUCCCAGCCUCGUUUUCCAGCCCUCACUCAAAAUGGAGUCGCUCUGGUUCGAACGCCUCUGACAAGUGUGUACCUACGUGUCAGGAGACCGGAUUUUGCCAUGUUGGCCAGGCUGGUCUUGAACUCCUGACCUCAAGUGAUCCACCUGCCUCGGCCUCCCAAAGUGCAGGGAUUACAGGUGUGAGCCACUGCACCCGGCCUCAGGCAGGUAUUUUUACCAGCCGAAUACUCUUGCACUGUGCACUCUUCGUGUUCAUCAUCAGUCCCCCGGAUGGGUGUUUAAGGCAUUUCCAAAGCUCUGUUAUUAAAAACACGAUGCAAUGA
ensembl:lncRNA LINC01503 long intergenic non-protein coding RNA 1503